rnacentral:rRNA from 1 species
AUUGAACGCUGGCGGCAUGCUUUACACAUGCAAGUCGAACGGUAACAGGGUGCUUGCACCGCUGACGAGUGGCGAACGGGUGAGUAAUGCGUCGGAACGUGCCGAGUAGUGGGGGAUAACGCAGCGAAAGUUGUGCUAAUACCGCAUACGUACUGAGGUAGAAAGUGGGGGACCUUCGGGCCUCACGCUAUUCGAGCGGCCGACGUCUGAUUAGCUAGUAGGUGAGGUAAAGGCUCACCUAGGCGACGAUCAGUAGCGGGUCUGAGAGGAUGAUCCGCCACACUGGGACUGAGACACGGCCCAGAAUCCGACGGGAGGGAGCAGUGGGGAAUUUUGGACAAUGGGCGAAAGCCUGAUCCAGCCAUGCCGCGUGUCUGAAGAAGGCCUUCGGGUUGUAAAGGACUUUUGUCAGGGAGGAAAUCCCUAGUGCUAAUAACACUGGGGGAUGACAGUACCUGAAGAAUAAGCACCGGCUAACUACGUGCCAGCCGCCGCCGUAA